AUUGGACAGGUAAAAUUAGUGACUGGCCUUUGAUAGCUAGUUAAAUGGAGAUUCUCGAAUCCAAGAACCGGUCCUUCUUUGUUUCUACAUUGAGAGGUCUUCUGCAAAGACUUGGCAGGUAACUGUGCAGUUGUCCCAGAGGGAUCUACCGAAACAGAACAUUCACAAGCUUUGACUCCAAACUCUUCUUUCUUAGGUGACCUCUGAGAUUCUGCACUUUGAUUUGUUUUGCCAGACUGCUUGGGCAAUGCACCUAACCUGAGCAGUCCCUUUCUCUCAGCGGGGCACAGCUGAUCAGAAAAAGGAAGCAUUAACUCUCGUUUAACUUUGCCAUUUUCCGUCGGAGUAAUCUGCUUUUCUUCAAGCCGCAUCAGUAAGCCCAUGUCAUUUACCUGAAAUUUUUCCAGAGCCAUUUUUUGUCUGGUUUCCUGCAGAACACUCAAUUCUCGCAACUCUUCUGGUAGAACAGAACCAGGAAACUACAAACAGAAAAGAAUACAAG